CAAGGACUACAAGGAGCCACCACCGGCACCAUUGUUUGAGCCUGGUGAACUCAAGUCAUGGUCUUUCUACAGAGCUGGCAUUGCAGAGUGUAUGGCCACCUUCUUGUUCCUUUACAUCACCAUCUUGACUGUCAUGGGUGUGUCUCAGUCUAAGACAAAAUGUAAUAAUGUUGGUAUUCAAGGCAUUGCUUGGGCCUUCGGUGGCAUGAUCUUUGCUCUUGUCUACUGCACUGCUGGCAUUUCAGGUCUCCUUCCUCAAACUUUUAAUGGGUAGUCUGUAGAUUUUGGUUUCUUUGGCUAAUUUUUCAAACUCCAAAAAAAAAAAAAAGGGUUUUGGCUUUGGUUUCUAUGGCUAAUUACAAAGCUUGGAACUUUUUCUUGCAUAUUACACCUUAGGCUAACCUAAUAUCUUGAAGAUGCUUAAGAUUCUUUCGUAAAAGAUGUUUAAUAACCAGAUCUGCAUUUGUUUUUUGUGACUUCAGGUGGCCACAUCAACCCAGCUGUGACCUUCGGGCUGUUACUGGCUAGGAAGCUGUCCCUUACCAGGGCAGUUUUCUACAUCAUCAUGCAGUGCCUCGGUGCCAUUUGUGGAGCUGGUGUAGUGAAGGGAUUCCAAGGUGACAGUCGAUAUGAGUUGUUGGGUGGUGGAGCUAACGUUGUGAAACCUGGUUACACCAAGGGUGAUGGUCUUGGUGCUGAGAUCAUUG
rnacentral:lncRNA from 1 species